GAAGGUUUAGCUCAGUGGUAGGGUGCAUGCUUAGCAUGCAUGAGGUCCUGGCUUUGUGAAAAUUUUCA
rnacentral:tRNA from 1 species